UGGAGGCUAGUCUAAAACAAGACCUCUGAUUUCGACUCAGAGAAUCGUGGUUUAAACCCACGGCCCCCUU
rnacentral:tRNA from 1 species